UACGGGGGGAGCAAGCGUUGUUCGGAAUUACUGGGCGUAAAGGGCUCGUAGGCGGCCAACUAAGUCGGAUGUGAAAUCCCCAGGCUUAACCUGGGAACUGCAUCCGAUACUGGAUGGCUUGAAUUCGGGAGAGGGAUGCAGAAUUCCAGGUGUAGCGGUGAAAUGCGUAGAUAUCUGGAGGAAUGCCGGUGGCGAAGGCGGCAUCCUGGACCGACAUUGACGCUGAGGAGCGAAAGCUAGGGGAGCAAACGGG
rnacentral:rRNA from 1 species